UACGUAGGGUGCGAGCGUUAAUCGGAAUUACUGGGCGUAAAGCGUGCGCAGGCUGUUCUGUAAGUCAGAUGUGAAAUCCCCGAGCUCAACUUGGGAACUGCGUUUGAAACUACAGGACUAGAAUAUGUCAGAGGGGGGGUAGAAUUCCACGUGUAGCAGUGAAAUGCGUAGAGAUGUGGAGGAAUACCAAUGGCGAAGGCAGCCCCCCUGGGAUAAUAUUGACGCUCAUGCACGAAAGCGUGGGGAGCAAACGAAGGAUUACGAAACCCCGGUGUA
rnacentral:rRNA from 1 species